UACGUAGGGCGCAAGCGUUGUCCGGAAUUAUUGGGCGUAAAGAGCUCGUAGGCGGUCUGUCGCGUCUGCCGUGAAAACCCGAGGCUUAACCUCGGGCUGGCGGUGGAUACGGGCAGACUAGAGGUAGGUAGGGGAGAAUGGAAUUCCCGGUGUAGCGGUGAAAUGCGCAGAUAUCAGGAGGAACACCGGUGGCGGAGGCGGUUCUCUGGGCAUUACCUGACGCUGAGGAGCGAAAGUGUGGGGAGCGAACAGG
rnacentral:rRNA from 1 species